UAUGUACCCACCACCAUCAUCUAUUUUACUACUAGCCCCACCUCAAUAUAUUUUUUCUUUUCCUACUUCUAUUUGUCAUUACCACAAUCACAUUAUGGUUUUUUCCCUUUCAUCUUCAAAAUAAUUUUAUCAAAUUUUCGUAUCCAAUUCAAACAAACAAACAAAUCUUUAGGGUCCUCUAUAUUUUCGAAAGCAUAGACAACCCUGAGCUUGAUCAACAGGAAUCAUACCUCCACCCUUGGAAGUGUCAAUGGCCUCCAACAUGGAAACUACUUCAUCCAUCUCAGGCCGCUUGUCUGGGGUCGCAUCCCAGCAACGCUUCAUCACAUUUGCUAGAGAGCUCGGGCAACAUCUCGGUAUCUCUG
rnacentral:misc_RNA from 1 species